UACGUAGGUGGCAAGCGUUGUCCGGAUUUACUGGGCGUAAAGGGCGUGCAGGCGGUCUGUUAAGUCUAGGGUGAAAGCUCCCGGCUCAACUGGGAGAGGUCCUUGGAUACUGGCGGACUUGAGGGAGGCAGAGGAAAGUGGAAUUCCCGGUGUAGUGGUGGUAUGCGUAGAUAUCGGGGAGGAACACCAGUGGCGAAGGCGGCUUUCUGGGCCUUACCUGACGCUGAGACGCGAAAAGCGUGGGGGAGCGAACCGGG
rnacentral:rRNA from 1 species